rnacentral:rRNA from 1 species
ACGAAGUUANCCGGGGCUUCUUCUACGGUUACCGUCAUUAUCUUCACCGUUGAAAGAGCUUUACAACCCUAGGGCCUUCAUCACUCACGCGGCAUGGCUGGAUCAGGCUUGCGCCCAUUGUCCAAUAUUCCCC